GGGGGCGGGCCGCCCGGCCUGGCCUAAUGUGGGUGGGUCUCUGCGCCCCCUGCCUACUCAACUUUCCCCUCCAAUUCCCUGCCUCCCUUUGAUGUCCAGCAAGUGCGGACGCGCCUCGUGGGUCGCAGCGGGGAGGGAAGGGGAGAUGGGAGGUGAGCACGGGGGAGGGGUCCGGGCUAAACGGGGGGCGGGGCCCGCGGGUCGAUGCCCCACCCCCCGUCAGAGCCUGACCGCCGGGGGAAAAGCCUCUGGGCGGAGGAGGUGCUUUCAAAACAAAGAAAUGCGGCGUGGAACCCGGGGGACUGGGGUGGUGAGGAAGGCGGAGGAGGUGCGGCUGAGGCCGUCCGGCCGCCCGUUUCCCCUCCAGUCAGCCCGGAGGAGCUCCCCCCACCCCCAGCCCGGGCUGCGGUGCCGGAGAAGAGGGAGGAGGCUGCGUUAGGCGGCUGUUUUCCAGUUCACUUUUGCAGACCAAGGCGGAGAAGAAGAGCACCAGCUCCGCUGCCCCUCUUGGCUGCGGCGCACUCAGCCCCGAGCCCCGCGUGCGCUCUGUCUCGGAUACCGAGCCGGCCAAAGUGUCCGGAAACGCGCAGAGCGCUCGGAACCUGUCCCGCAGCUGUGCGACGCGCGUCUCGAGCUGGCCGCUGCCGCCCCGCCCUCGCGCUCCUUCAGCCCCGCGAGCGGAGAAGCCGGCCCGCCCGCCGGCGCCGAGCUGGGGAACUUGAACUAGCCCCAGCGGCCGCUCUGCCGAGAUCCCGCGCCAGGCCCGGGGGUGCUCCGGCUCGGGGUGGAGGGCACACCGGGGAAGUGGAUUUAGCAAACACACCUUUGAACAGAUCCAGGAGACCAGAAAAACUUACCACCCACAUCUACUCUUCAUAAUCAAGUCAUUGGAUGAAGACAGGCAGGCUCGAGAGAAGAGACAGAAGCCUACAGCACUGCCACCAACUGCCCAGGAUGCAGGGAUUUCAACAGGAAACGGGACCUUUAUGAAUGAAGCACAUUAUUUAUCCCAGUGUGGAGUAAGAAGAGAGAAAAUGAGCUGCAGUUGCUGGAGAAGGAGACUGAGGUUCACCUUAGGAAGAACAUCCUGUCAAUAACAUCGAAGCUCUGGAGAAUCUCAUGGAAGGAGCUUCAGGGUUUUGGUCAACAUUCAUUCUACCAACAUUUACUGAGGACCUUCUGGGCACUUCUUGGUUUGUGCCUAAUUCAGUCACAGAGCUAAAUCGGGAAGAUUUCACUCAAAUGCUUCUCUGGAGGGUUUCCCUAACUUGAAGUAUUGCUAUCUCUUUUUUUCCCAACUUUUCUUCUUAUUCUCUGCCACCUAUGAAGGUUCAC